rnacentral:rRNA from 1 species
GGGGGGGGCAAGCGUUGUUCGGAAUUACUGGGCGUAAAGGGUUCGUAGGUGGCUCGCUAAGUCAGACGUGAAAUCCCUCAGCUUAACUGGGGAACUGCGUCUGAUACUGGCAAGCUCGAGUGCAGGAGAGGAACGCGGAAUUCCAGGUGUAGCGGUGAAAUGCGUAGAUAUCUGGAGGAACACCGGUGGCGAAGGCGGCGUUCUGGACUGCAACUGACACUGAUGAACGAAAGCCAGGGGAGCAAACGGGAUUAGAUACCCCGGUAGUCCUGGCCCUAAACGAUGAAUGCUUGGUGUGGCGGGUAUCGAUCCCUGCCGUGCCGGAGUUAACGCGUUAAGCAUUCCGCCUGGGGAGUACGGUCGCAAGGCUG